rnacentral:rRNA from 1 species
UACGGAGGGUGCGAGCGUUGUCCGGAAUUACUGGGCGUAAAGGGCGCGUAGGCGGCCUUCUAAGUCAGACGUGAAAUCCCCCGGCUUAACCUGGGAACUGCGUCUGAUACUGGGAGGCUUGAGUAUGGGAGAGGGAUGUAGAAUUCCAGGUGUAGCGGUGAAAUGCGUAGAUAUCUGGAGGAAUACCGGUGGCGAAGGCGGCAUCCUGGACCAUUACUGACGCUGAGGCGCGAAAGCUAGGGGAGCAAACGGG